rnacentral:rRNA from 1 species
GUUAGGAAUAUUGGACAAUGGGCGCAAGCCUGAUCCAGCCAUGCCGCGUGAGUGAUGAAGGCCUUCGGGUUGUAAAGCUCUUUAGCCGAUGAUUAUAAUGACUGUAGUCGGAAAAUAAGCCCCGGCUAACUUCGUGCCAGCAGCCGCGGUAAUACGAAGGGGGCGAGCGUUAUUCGGAAUCACUGGGCGUAAAGCGUGCGUAGGCGGCUUUGCAAGUUGGGAGUGAAAGCCCAGGGCUCAACCCUGGAAUUGCUCUCAAAACUGCACGUCUUGAGUACUGGAGAGGGAAGCGGAAUUCCGGGUGUAGAGGUGGAAUUCGUAGAUAUUAGGAAGAACACCAGUGGCGAAGGCGGCUCACUGGUCUGGUACUGACGCUGAGGUGCGAAAGCGUGGGGAGCAAACAGGAUUAGAUACCCUUGUAGUCC